AUUUUCACCAAUAUGUACUAUGCUAUUUAUUUUGUUUCAUUCUAUUUGAGUUUAUAAUUUAUAUUUGAAUUUAGUGUCUAUAUUUGAGUUUAUAUUUGGGUUUAGGGUUAGUGAUUAGGGUUUAAGGUAUUGUAUUUAGGGGUUGGAGGUGGGUUAGGAUAAGGUUUAUUAUUUAGAGGUUGAGAAGGGGUUAGUGUCUUAUAAUAUUUUGGUGAUAUGGAAUGGAAACACUUCAGUAAAUUGAAUACACUUUUAUUUAAAAAGUCAUUUGUUUUUUAUCCACUCAUUUUAUUGCAUAUAGUGAAUAAGUAUGUGGUAAAUAAAUCUGUGAC
rnacentral:lncRNA from 1 species